GACGAACGCUGGCGGCGUGCUUAACACAUGCAAGUCGAACGGAAAGGCCUCUUUCGGGGGGUACUCGAGUGGCGAACGGGUGAGUAACACGUGAGUAACCUGCCCUUGACUUUGGGAUAACUUCAGGAAACUGGGGCUAAUACCGGAUAGGAGCUCCUGCUGCAUGGUGGGGGUUGGAAAGUUUCGGCGGUUGGGGAUGGACUCGCGGCUUAUCAGCUUGUUGGUGGGGUAGUGGGUUACCAAGGCUUUGACGGGUAGCCGGCCUGAGAGGGUGACCGGCCACAUUGGGACUGAGAUACGGCCCAGACUCCUACGGGAGGCAGCAGUGGGGAAUAUUGCACAAUGGGUGGAAGCCUGAUGCAGCAACGCCGUGUGCGGGAUGACGGCCUUCGGGUUGUAAACCGCUUUCGCUCAUGACGAAGCUUUGUGUGACGGUAGUGGGUAAAGAAGCACCGGCUAACUACGUG
rnacentral:rRNA from 1 species